rnacentral:tRNA from 1 species
GCCGGGAUAGCGCAGUUGGUAGAGCAGAGGACUGAAAAUCCUCGUGUCA